rnacentral:rRNA from 1 species
UACCGCAUACGUCCUACGGGAGAAAGCAGGGGACCUUCGGGCCUUGCGCUAUCAGAUGAGCCUAGGUCGGAUUAGCUAGUUGGUGGGGUAAUGGCUCACCAAGGCGACGAUCCGUAACUGGUCUGAGAGGAUGAUCAGUCACACUGGAACUGAGACACGGUCCAGACUCCUACGGGAGGCAGCAGUGGGGAAUAUUGGACAAUGGGCGAAAGCCUGAUCCAGCCAUGCCGCGUGUGUGAAGAAGGUCUUCGGAUUGUAAAGCACUUUAAGUUGGGAGGAAGGGCAGUAAAUUAAUACUUUGCUGUUUUGACGUUACCGACAGAAUAAGCACCGGCUAACUCUGUGCCAGCAGCCGCGGUAAUACAGAGGGUGCAAGCGUUAAUCGGAAUUACUGGGCGUAAAGCGCGCGUAGGUGGUUCGUUAAGUUGGAUGUGAAAUCCCCGGGCUCAACCUGGGAACUGCAUUCAAAACUGACGAGCUAGAGUAUGGUAGAGGGUGGUGGAAUUUCCUGUGUAGCGGUGAAAUGCGUA